GUUGUAUAUACAUUUUUUUUCGUUCUUUUUUUUUUAAAAUAAGUUAACAUGGUUAAGCAGUUAUAGUUAUAUAGUUAAAAUUGUUUUCCAUUUUUCAUGUCGGCGUCUUUUAUUGUUAACUAUGCCAUAUAAACUUUGCUCAAUGUUAAAGGCCAUACGGUUAUCUAUAGAUGUGCCAGUUAGUAUGUAUGUACUGGAAAUUUUACUUAUUUGCAAUCAUACCACUUCUUUUUUUAUAAAUACCUUUCUGUUUAAAUUGUUCACAUAACAAUGCUAACAAUAUUGUGUCAAAAUCGUGUUUAUAUUUUAUAUUGAGUCUAUGGUACGUAUAUAAACGUUAAACUAACUGCAUUUGUUUGCACCUGUCCUUAGUCAGGAAUCUGUCGUUCAGUAGUUGUCGUUUGUUGAAUUGUUCAUACGUGUUUCUGGUUUCAUGUUUUUUUUACAUUAGACCUUUAUUUUUCCUGUUCAAAUAGUUUUACACUAGUGUUUUUUGUGCCUUUCAUAGCUUGCUACUCGAUAAAAACCAAAACUCCGUAUUAAUGACAAAC
rnacentral:lncRNA from 1 species